rnacentral:rRNA from 1 species
GAGUUGGACCUGCCCGGUGAAUAACUUUUAACGGCCGCGGUACUCUAACCGUGCAAAGGUAGCAUAAUCAUUUGCCCUAUAAUUGAGGGCUGGAAUGAAUGGUUUGACGUGAACAGAGCUGUCUCUAUACAAUUCUUUAGAACUUGGUUUUUAGGUGAAGAAACCUAAAUAUUAUUGAUAGACAAGAAGACCCUAUUGAGCUUUUAAAAGAGUAGGUAGAGAAUAACAUAUAGUUCUUAGUUAUCAGUCUGCCUUAAAUUUUAGUUGGGGCGACUAUGGAACAAAUAAAGCUUCUUUAUUACUAUAAGACUUUCAGGUUUUGAUCCAAAUAUUUUGAUUAAUGAAAUUAGUUACCGUAGGGAUAACAGCAUAAUUUUCUUUGAGAGUUCCUAUCGAAAAGAGAGUUUGUGACCUCGAUGUUGGACUAGAAUAUCCUAAAGAUGCAGCAGUCUUUAAGGGUUGGUC